AGAAGUUCAUUUUCCAUCUAAUGUUCAGAGAAAUGCUUAAAUAGCAAGACCAGCUUAAUGUUGAUUUGGUCAAUAGAAACAGCAUAUAUUUAUAUAGGUUGAUGCUUGGAUUCAAUGAUCUCUCUGCUGCAGUCCCUAAAAUUGCACUUCCCUAAUGCUGGAAUGAAGUAAUUUUCUUCUCCUUGUUUGGUAGCUGGAUGUCCCUGGAAAAGUGGAGUCAAGGAGAAAGUACAAACUGCGAUAUUUGCAUUUCAGUUUUCCGCAGAAGCCUGCACAGGUGAAUAUGACAACGUCUUUCCAGAUAUGAAUUGGAAUGGAAUAUUCCCCACGUCUCUUGCUGACCCUGGACUGCUGGUGGGGCUUCCUUGUGUGACUGUGGAUAGCCCCUUUGCCCAUGGACUGGACUGAUGGCAAAAAGGUCUGGUGACAAGGAUGCUGCUGUAGCCUCAGCCUUCCACUGCAAGUAUGUAGCAAGUCUUGGGCUUCCAAAUGGAAAGUGACUAGGAUCUGCAUCUUGUUCCUCAGAUGAGUGGCCUUGUGUCACUUGGUGUACUGACUGACCUGUCCUCAGGCUGUGGGGGCUGCUGGAGUAAUCAUUUGUUUCUACACAAGCAAACCAUACUUGGAACCUGUUUGCCACCUCAGAAUUUUAUGACAGGCUAGGACCUGGUCCUUGAACUGAAACUGGAUUCCUGGUGUGGAGAGAAGUGCCCCAGGAAAAUGCAUCAGUGCUGACCUGAACUUUCCGAUGGCCCAUCUCACUUCUCUAAAUCUUUCAAAGGCUGUUUCUCCAUUAAGAUAAUGAAGGAGUAUUUUGGACAUACCCUGCUAAAACUUAAUCCAAGCUAAGAUAUGCAAACAAAUGGUGGAUGCUCUGUAUUUGAAGUUCUGCAUAAUGUUCCUAAUGACUUCAUUUUGAUAUCUGAGAAUGUGCUAGGAGGUUAUUGUUUCCCCACUGUCAUGUGAUGGAUUACAGGUGAGCUCUUGGUGUAACAUAUAUUAACUGGGAGCAAACAUUGUAUUUAAAGACAGUGGCUCAGUAGGAAAAAUGAGAUAUUUCUGUUGUUUCCUUUCUGAAAAAUCUGGUGCAUCACUCUCUCUUUUAAGCCAUAUUUAUAAACAGUACUUUCUAUAUGCUGUAGAAACCAUCCCCAUACUCCAGACACUGCUUGUUCUUAUUUCCCACAGUGAAAGUUAUCUUUAUUGGAAGGCUUAGAAAAACAAUAUUUUCUUUCUCUAUUUGAUUUCUAUUUGGUAACUUCUCCUGACUUUUUUGCAAAUGGGGCUAGAAAAACCAUCCUCCUCUUCUUUCACCUACCCUACCAUAAAAAAAAAACAACCACCCAGGUUCACAUGAUUUCCCCAUGUGUCCUUUGUUCCCAGCUUAUUCAUCCAAGUACUGUUGUGUACAGUUUGGCUAGUAAGGUCUUUAAAUUUAUUUGGUACCAUCAUAACUUCUUUUUUUUAUAUACUGUCACAGCUUUUGUGACUGCCCUGGAAAACUGCAAAUGAGUGCACUGUUCAGGCCUCUUCUAUCAGUUUAAUAACCUUUUGAAAGGAUAGUUUUUAUCUACAUGAAUAUAUAUGCACCUAGAAGAGCAUCGUCUUUAUUUUUUCUUAUGCAACAAGUCAGCAUGUGCUACAACUUAUGAGAAGGCACUUUAGUCUGAAGCUGUCCUAGCCAGAUGCAUAUACAACAUCAGAGCCAAAUUUUCCACUUGCAAGAAUGGAUAAUGUUCUUUUAAAUCAGUAGAAGAGUAUCUGCUUUCACUGUUUGUUUCUGAGGCUGUUAGAAUCAGCAUCUCACUUCUUCUGAACACUAGUUGUGUUAGUCAGUC